rnacentral:lncRNA from 1 species
ACCUUCUCUAAUCGAGAAGCCAAAAGCCAGUCAACAAGAGAGAAACCGUCUUCACUUUUCCUUUCCCUUUCCCUUUCCCUUUCUCUCCCAGGGCACCCCAAAAGCCAUUGAUUAUUCAGUUUUAUAAACAUAGUCGUAACCUUUCGUGCAAGAUCUGUUUGAAGAAGCUAAUAGUUGAACCGUUUGGUGGCCUCUUCACAUGUGAGUUCCUCUAUUUGCCUUAUUUCUUCAUAAAAUUAUAGUAAUUUUUGCUGGUUUAUUACUACCGACAGCCAUCACCCACUGGGAGGCGACAGUCAAGUCCGGUGGCGGCUAGGUGAAUGUUGCUGUCGCUGGCCAACAGUUGUCCGAUGGGAUUAAACUCAUACAGAGGUGGACUCUCCUGGGAAGAAGAAGAUGGCUAAUAUUGCAGCUGUGAUUUCUAAAGUUUCAGAGGCCCUGUGUGCCCUGCAAAACUAGGCACAAAGAGCUGAGAUGAAGGACCAACUCUGGCUGGUAGAGGUUCUUCUAAGAAGAAAAAAAAAGGCCGCAUUAUCCUUCCCGGUAGGGCUGGCUUUGGGAACAAGAACCGGAUUUUAAGGUUAUUUUGAGAAAUCAAGUUAGUUCAUCUUUAAGAUUUCUAAACUUUUAUACUGAUUUCUU